GGUGAAAUAAAUGUGCAGUAACUUCUGCAACCCUCUUGGGAACUUUUCCCUUGUGAUCGCUUCUGCCCUGCUCCCUGUUCCUUCUCCAGCAAGAAAUCCCAAAGCAAACCCCUCUGCAGAUUGAAAAUUAAAGCAGCACCCUGCACACUGCAGAGGAUGAGCUUUGGUUACUUUUUGACGUUUUUAUGGAUUUUGUUUGUUUGUUUGCUGAAACUUUGUGCCAGAGAGGGGGGGGACAAAGUCCUCUUUUGCUGAGCCUCUCGCAUAGUCCUGGGACAGACCGGUUAGACGGUCCUUGGGGUUGUUUCUCACUUUUUUUUCCCCCUUCCUUUUCACCUUUUUGGUGUGGUUUGUUUUUUGGGUAUUUUGUCUUUUUUUAAUUUUUUUUUAUUAUUUUUUUUUGGAUGGUGGUGUUCUCGCUUUGGUUUUUAAGACCCUUUUGUCGCUUCUAGGAGUGCAGCCUUCAGUCUUGUCGUCCUGCUCCGGCCCCUCAGCCCUGGCAGCAAGCAAACCCACCGGGCAGACGGAUGCCAAACGUCCCGCAGAUGUGCAGAGCUGCGGCUCAGGGGCAGCGGCCAGCCCGGGGGUGUCGGGGAGCACCGGGGCUCCCUGCAGAUGAGAAGGACUAGAUAACUGAGGCAGAAACAAUCGUUGUGACGGACAGGCAGACCUGGUUCCUGACGCUGCCCCACCACAGGACAGGGACAAACAGAAGGUCCUUUAGUUUAGAGGCAAUUACAAUUUUAAUCCUUUUUUUUUUUUUUUUUUAAACUAAGCAGCUGAAACUUCCCACCUGGCUCUUUAUCACCCAGGUCAAAGGCACUGGGUGUUUCAGGGGUGCAUUUUGUAACGUCUCCUCUCCGGUUAGUUAUCUUUGCUGGCUUUGGAUGGAGGAAAUGUCCUGGCAGGGUCAGCAGGCUGGACCCGCCACAGCCCCACCAACUGUGCAGAGCUGUGCGGAAUAACCUGACCUGCCCGUGGAACUCCUGUGUUUGUGCGCUCCUCGGCUAAUAAACACGAAAACCAAACACGAUAAA